CAUGUCUGGCUAAUUUUUCUAUUAUUGGUAGAGACAGGGUUUCACCAUAUUGGCCAAGCUGGUCUCAAACUCCUGACCUCAGGUGAUGCCCCCACCUUGGCCUCCCAAAGUGCUGGGAUUACAAGCGUGAGCCAGCACACCCAGCCUCUGGCCUCCUUUUACUAAAAAGUAGCCCACUUCAGAUGUCGAAAACCCUCUCUGUCUCACUGUGUUCCCUUCUGAGCAGACCCAGAAGGGUUCUGAAAACCAACCCUUUGCCAUUAAUGACUGACUAGUUGUACUUUCACUGAAAUCCCACCAAAAUUACCUCAAACUAGUACCUACAGUUUAAGCCUUUUAGUCUAUGAUUGUGAAACAAAAGGUACGUGGCCUUAUUAAUAAAUUUUGGCAUCUGUAAGGUGGGAGAUAAUCGUGAGACAAGGGAACCUUCAAAGCCAUAUUUUGUCACUUUUAGUGGUCCUUGAAUAGAGGGUGAUUUUGCCCCUAAGAGAACGUUUGGCAAUGUCUGGAGGUAUUUCUGGUGUCACAGCUUUAUGGGGGAAGCGGGGAGGAUGGACAGUGCUACUGUAGGCUUCUAGCAAGUAGAGGCUAGGGAUGCUGCUCAACGUCCUACAACACAGGGGACAGAACCUCACAACAAACAAUUGCUGCCCCGACGUGAAAGCCACUGAUCGAAAGGGUGAACUUGACUGGAACAUUGAGGUGCCUUGUGAGUCAGGGCAGUUAGUAUCUGGGGGAUGCUGGCUGAGCCUGCCAAGCAUCUAUUGAAAAAUUGCUGGAGGUGAAGGAUCAUGUCUUUGGGACCUAGAGAGUGAGAUAUUUGGACUCAGUUUCUGCCUCCACCCUUCCCCUAACUUUAUUUGGAUCUUCCCACAGCCCCAAGACGUUCAGUACACAUUUUAUCUCGUCCUAGAUCACCUUCUUUUUUAGUAUGUAGAGAUUUUGAGGGGAAAGGUAAAUAGGAGACUCUUUCUCAACAGAGGUAGGAUAAGAUUUAUCUUAAUCCCAAUUAAACAAUAGUGAAGACCCAAAAGAAAAAAGUUGGAAACCCAAGCUUUUCACUUAAGUUAAUAGCAAUGAAGAAUCAAUUUAUUGAACAAAAAUUAAGUCUUAAAGGAGGAGAAUAGGCAGGGCAUGGUGGCUCACACCUGCAAUCCCAGCACUUUGGGAGGCUAAGGCAAAUGGAUCACUUGAUGACAGGAGUUCAAGACCAGCCUGGCCAACAUAGGGAAACCCCCUCUCUACUAAAUAAAUAAAUAAAUACAAAAAAUUAGCUGGGUGUGGUGGCAUCGCCUAUAAUCCCAGCUACUUGGGAGGCUGAGGCAUGAGAAUUGCUUGAACCCGGGAGGUGGAGGUUGCAGUGAGCUGAGAUCAUGCCAGUGUACUCCAGCCUAGGCGACAGAGCAAGACUCUGUCAAAAAAGAAAAAAAAAAGGAAAGUUAUGUUAAUAAAGUAUAAACUCCAAAAUUUAACCAGAAGUUAGUGGAUAUUAGCUCUUACCAUGGAAAAUUAUCAUUACUUAAAUAAUUUGCUAAAUUUUAUUUUUAAGUGGUUUAGUAGAAAUGUAUUUAAUAGAUGGAACUAUGUGUGUUUUAAACAAAUAGCUACUGCCAAAUAUGUAGAAGUAAACAUUGAAAUGAUUAUUAGGGCUAUCAAGAAUUGUUUCUAUAAAUCAAACCGAUCAGAUUCAUAUUGAUUAAAGCCAUUUUCUUAAUUUUAUACUUCUAUUGUUCAUCAUAUCACUAGCAUUUACAAUAAAGAAUAUGUAAUUAUGAAUUCAAAUAUACUCAAAUUCUCAUGAAGGCAAAACCCAAGAAGAAUAGUUGUAAACAGGGGAUCAUUAAUCACCUUUUUCAAAUAUUGCCUGAUUUCCACUUAGACUUAUUAGCUGAUUGCUUUUAGACAGUGGUUUCCAAACUUGGCAAUGUAUCAGUACCAUUUAAGAACUGGUGACAGGGCCAGGAAUCUCCAAUUAAAAUAUCAGCAAAUGAUUUUGAUACCCAUUCAUGACAUAUAGGUAGUUGCCCUGUUGAUGCUUAUACUAAAACAAGUUUUAAAUGAAGAGGCCAGAUCUAAAAUAUUUCUGAAGUGUUUAAUUUGAAGCCCCAAAAUGCUUUAGGUAUUGUAACUCUACCCCUACUUUCCAAGGAAUAAAAACGUGGAGGGGGAGGAAUGUGGUAAAAUGUGAUUAGUAAUCUUUUUGUCACAAUAAGGACAUUGACGUCAGUGCAUCUAAUUCAGAUUGGGGAAGGACUGCCUGUUUUUAAUUUUCUGGGAUGUUAAUGGAAUAACUAAAACUGUAAUUAUUAAUUUGGUCAAUAAGAAGUCAUUCAACUAAAGAAAGCACUGGAACCUACCAGUCUUAGUGAAUAAUAUAAUUGCAUCUAGUCCCCAGAAACUUCUACAUCAACCUAAUAAUGUAUACAUGAAUCAUAUUCUUAAUUAACAUUUCCAUAAAUAUGCUGAAGGGCAGCUCAAAGAAAAUGGAAUACAGACUGAACAGGAUAUACAGGCAUCCCAAUUUCUACUCCUUCCCAUUCAUAGCUUGCUCUUUUGAUGCUGCCUAAUAGACAUCUCUAUAUUUUGUAUAUAUUUAGGGACAUAUUUCAUCUCCACUGUACUGACCAGCUAAGGGCUUUGGCUCAGAUAAAUACGAGGUUGCAUGGGUAGAUACUGUUUUAUUCUAUGAAUGACAAGUUCAGAAGGGUGGUUUCCAGGAAUGCAAUGAAUUUGAAAUAAUCAUUUAAAAUAAUGACAGCUGAUCAUGUAUUGUUUACUGUGUGUUUUAGAUGCUAUGCCAAGUUUAAGUUUAUUAUGUAAUUUAGUCAUAACAGCACAUCAUGAAAUAGGUACCAUCAUAAUUCCUAUUUUACAAAUAAUGAAACCAGAGAACAGACAAGUUACCCAAAGUUAGUAGCUUAUUAAUAGUGGAGUUUGUAAUAAUAAUUAUUAUUUUUUUUUUUUUUUUUUUUUUUUUGAGACGAAGUCUCGCUCUGUCGCCCAGGCUGGAGUGCAGUGGCGCAAUCUCAGCUCGCUGCAAGCUCCGCCUCCCGGGUUCACGCCAUUCUGCCUCAGCCUCCCGAGUAGCUGGGACUACAGGCGCCCGCCACGACGCCCGGCUAAUUUUUUGUAUUUUUAGUAGAGACGGGGUUUCACCGUGUUGGCCAGCAUGGUCUCGAUCUGACCUUGUGAUCCACCCGCCUCGGCCUCCCAAAGUUCUGGGAUGUAAUAAUUGUUUUUGUGUGUGAACUCAGCAGAGAAGUAUGUGAAUAAUUUUUAAAAAACAAAGGAAAAGAAAAGUCCUUUGGAAAAAAAUGAUAAUACCUAGUUUUAAUUAAAAAAAAAAAAUCCUGACACUUGAAGUGUCCACUUUCUUAGCAGAGAGUGGCUGAUUUUCAGACAGCAAACUAUGUAUCAGAAAACCGGGAGAAAAACCCAAGAUAUGUCCCUACUCAAACUGAUUCAAACUUCAAUAUGUAUAUGGAACAGGAAGGACUGGGAUCAAAAUUCUCAGCCCAUUUCUAGUGGGUAGAACAUUUAAAAAUAAUUAUAAGGAAUUAUGUGAGGUCAUUUGGCAAGAAGGAGUCAAUAGGGCAGUGUUGGAUGACACCUCUUCCAUUCCAACAGUGUAAGCUCGACUGUGUCUUAAAUUGAUCAGACUAAGAAAGAACGAUCAAAGUUCUCAGAUAGGUUGCUACACCCCUCUACAUUCCAUCUGCAACUCAGCUUUUGUCCUUCAAGUUUCUAAUUGCUUCAUUUGAGCCAUACACUCAGUAUAAAGGAGAAAGUUGGACAAUCCGGGUCACAAAUGGGGAGCUGACUGGCAGUUCCCGGAAUCACCUUUGCCUUCAGUCCCUAUCAUUGCGGGAGCCAGGCUGUAAAAUCUAGCAUGGGACAAGAGGCUCAUCUGUCAGCUGUGGCUCCCGGAGCAGUAGCCCGGCAGUAAGUGUCUCCAGGAGGAAUGUGAACAAUGCGGAACCACCCACAUCUGGAGGCUCCCAGUCUCAAUGGAGUAGUAGGGACAGAGUUACUGUUCGCACUGGCAUUGGGGAUUGGCACUAUGCUAUCCACUCUCACUCAGCUCAUUAUUACGCAGGGAAGGAAUUUGGCAAACUUUUUUUUUUUAAGACAAGGUCUUGCUCUGUCAUCCAGGCUGGAAUACAGUGGUGUGAUCAUAGCUGUCUGCAACCUCAAACUCCUGGACUCGUGAUCCUCCCACCUUAGCCUUCCAAGUAGUGACGACUACAGGCGCAUGCCACCACACUCAGCUAAUUUUGUAAAUUUUUGUAGACACAAGGGUUCACUGUGUUGUCCAGGCUGGUCCUGGUCUUGAACUCCUGGGCUGAAGCCAUCCUUCCACCUUGGCCUCCCAAAGUGCUGGUAUUACAGGCGUGAGCCACCACGCUUGGCAGACUUUAUUUCUUAAAGAUUGCCGUCUUACUCAGCAUCUUGGAGAACUCACAAAUAAAUGUCCCUGAGUUUCAAGACAAGCCAGCCAUUAAAAUCUUUUAGGGAGAUCCGGAGAAGAUGAGUUAAAUUGGAAUGGACUUGAAAAGACUGAUUUAGUUGGAUUUAUGGAUCACAGUCAUGAAAAGGGUCUUGUUCUGUUGCUAAAGCUGGAGUGCAGUGGAAUGAUCUUAGCUCACUGCAGUCUCCACCUCCCGGGCUCAGGUGAUCCUCCUUUCUCAGCCUUUCAAGAGCUGGGACCGCAGGCAUGAGUCACCAUGCCCAACUAAUUUUUGCAUUUUUUGUAGAGACAGGGUUUCACCAUGCUGCCCAGGCUGGUCUUGAACUCCUGGGCUCAAGAGAUUUGCCCACCUGGGCCUCCCAAAGUGCUGGGACUACAGGCAUGAGCUACCGCACCCAGCCAAAAAAACCCUGAUAAUAUGAUUUAAAAAAAAAAAAAAAAAAAGAGAGGAGGAGGUAAAUAAUAACAAACUCCCAGGCUCAAUCUCCAGAGAGUUUGAUUUGGUAGAUUUGGGGCUAAGAAAUCUGUAUUUUAAAAACUUUUCAUCAUGUAAAAUUUGAAACUAUAAAAAGACUUGUUAAAAAAAAAUCCUCACAUAUCCCAUUAGAUUGAAGUUAUUAACAUUUGCUUUAUUUGCUACAUCUAUUUUUUUAGAUAUUUUAAAGCAAAUUCUAGACGUCUUGAUAUUUCGCACGAAAUGCAUGAGUUUGCCUCUUAAAAAUGCCAUUUUGUUAUAUAACCAGAUACCAUAAUCACACCUGACAAAUUUAAUAAUAAUUUCUUAGCAUUUGAAAUGUCCAUGUCCCCAAAAUGUCAUCUUACAGUUGGCUUGUUGGAAUUCAGGUCCAAACAAGUUCCAUGCAUUCCCUUUAGUUAUUGUGCAAGUUAGUUUUGUUUUUUAAAGAAGAAUUCCCCUUUUACCUGGAACUACCAUUAACCAGUGCCUCAAUCAGGCUGGCCCUCUAGGCUUCUAUAAGACAAUUCAGAUGUAGAAAGAAAGGGCCAUGGACAUUCUUCUUUCAAUAUAUUUCUAUCCUCUAUGGAUUUAUCAGACCACAUUCUUUUUGGAGAUCUUACAAAGACAGGAUGGGUGUGAGAUGGAGAGGGGUGAGAUGCAGAGAACUGCAGAUAGCCAGGAAACCAUCCUUCUAAAGGAACUAUGCAUUUUCUGGGCCAUCUUUCCCCAAAAUGUUUUAUAAAAUAUUUCUGAGAUUAAGUUUUUCUUUUCAAGUAGCUCAAGUGGUACAACACACAGCAUCUCCCUUUUGGAGGCUCAUAAUGCACAUUGAAUAUACUGUAUUAAAGACUCUUUGGAGUUCCACAAAGAAAUUUUA